UAGCCUUUAGCAAUAAAAGUAUUAAAGGUCCUGCCUGCCCAGUGAAACCAUUUUUAACGGCCGCGGUAUUCUAACCGUGCAAAGGUAGCGUAAUCACUUGUCUUCUAAAUAAAGACCAGUAUGAACGGCUAAAUGAGGACAAAUCUGUCUCCUACAACCAAUCAGUGAAACUGAUCUUCCAGUCCAAAAGCUGGGAUUCCAACAUUAGACGAGAAGACCCUGCGGAGCUUAAAAGACCCCUAGUAAUAAAAAACUAGAACAAAUUUUAAGUUGGGGCGACUUCGGAAAAAAACAAAACUUCCGAGCACAGAAUCAUAAAUUCUUAUAAACCCAGGCAAACAGGCCAAAAAUAAAUGACCCAGUCCAUACUGACCAACGAACCAAGUUACCCCAGGGAUAACAGCGCUAUCCUCUUCAAGAGUCCAUAUCGACAAGAGGGUUUACGACCUCGAUGUUGGAUCAGGGCACCCCAAUGGUGCAACCGCUAUUAAAGGUUCGUUUGUUCAACGAUUAACAGCC
rnacentral:rRNA from 1 species